UGAGGAAUAUUGGUCAAUGGGCGGGAGCCUGAACCAGCCAAGCCGCGUGAUGGAGGAAGGCGCUAAGCGUCGUAAACAUCUUUUGCCGGGGAACAAAGGCAGCCACGUGUGGCUGAAUGAGUGUACCCGGAGAAAAAGCAUCGGCUAACUCCGUGCCAGCAGCCGCGGUAAUACGGAGGAUGCGAGCGUUAUCCGGAUUUAUUGGGUUUAAAGGGUGCGCAGGCGGGCAGUUAAGUCAGCGGUAAAAGCCCGGGGCUCAACCCCGGCGAGCCGUUGAAACUGGUUGUCUUGAGUUGGAGAGAAGUAUGCGGAAUGCGCGGUGUAGCGGUGAAAUGCAUAGAUAUCGCGCAGAACUCCGAUUGCGAAGGCAGCAUACCGGCUCCAUACUGACGCUGAGGCA
rnacentral:rRNA from 1 species